AAUGCGAUAAGUAAUGUGAAUUGCAGAAUUCAGUGAAUCAUCGAAUCUUUGAACGCACCUUGCGCUCCUUGGUAUUCCGAGGAGCAUGCCUGUUUGAGUGUC
rnacentral:rRNA from 1 species